rnacentral:rRNA from 1 species
AGUUUGAUCCUGGCUCAGAAUGAACGCUGGCGGUAGGCUUAACACCUGCAAGUCGAACGGAAACGAUGAAAAGCUUGCUUUCUUGCUGACGAGUGGCGGACGGGUGAGUAAUGUAUGGGAAUCUGCCCUCUAGUUGGGGACAACAUAUGGAAACGUAUGCUAAUACCGAAUGUGAUCUACGGAUUAAAGGUGCCCUCUCCUUGGAAGGUAUCGCUAGAGGAUGAGCCCAUAUUAGAUUAGCUAGUUGGUGGGGUAAAGGCCUACCAAGGCGACGAUCUAUAGCUGGUUUGAGAGGAUGAUCAGCCACACUGGGACUGAGACACGGCCCAGACUCCUACGGGAGGCAGCAGUGGGGAAUAUUGCACAAUGAGGGAAACCUUGAUGCAGCCAUGCCGCGUGUGUGAAGAANGNCCGAGGGUUGUAAGCACUUUCAAUUGUGAGGAAGCUAAGUAGCUAAUACCUGCUUAGUGUGACGUUACUUUUAAAGAAGCACCGGCUAACUCUGUGCCANCANCCGCGG